rnacentral:rRNA from 1 species
CAAUAGCGUAUAUUAAAGUUGUUGCGGUAAAAAAGCUCGUAGUUGGAUUUCUACCGAAGAUAGCCGGUCGGGUCUUCGACCUUGUAUCUGGUUUUGUCUUUGGUAUCCUCAUAGGGAACGUGUCUGCGCUUUAUUGCGUGGUGCGGUAUCUAUGACUUUUACUUUGAGGAAAUUAGAGUGUUCACGGCAGGCAAACGCCUUGAAUAUAUUAGCAUGGAAUAAUAACAUAGGAUCUUCGUCCUAUUUUGUUGGUUUCUAGGGCUAAGAUAAUGAUUAAUAGGGAUAAUUGGGGGCAUCUGUAUCAACGCGUCAGAGGUGGAAUUCUUGGAUUGCGUUGCGACAAACUACUGCGAAAGCAUUUGCCAAGGAUGUUUUCAUUGA